rnacentral:lncRNA from 1 species
ACACGGAGGGCCCGGGCGGGGAAGGGUGGGGGGCUUGCAGGGGUGCCUGGGUCGGGGGCUGCAGGUGGGAGUGAGCAAAUGUGCUGUCUCGCCACCUCGGGACAGGUGGUAGGGCCUCUGACACAGAGUGGUCCUUCCUGCUGUUCACAGCUCAGCUCACCGUGGGCUGACCAUAGAUUCUCGUUGAAAUCCUAACGCCCCAGGCAAUGAUGUUAGGAGGCGGGGCUUCUGGGAGAUGGCAAGUUCGUGAGGCUGCAGCUCUGCUGGGGGAUCAGUGUCCUUCUACAAGCGGCUCCAGGGAGGUCCCUUGCCCCUUCCACCAUGUGAGGACCCGAGAUGGUGCCGUCUAUGAACCGGGAAGUGAGUCCUCUCCGGACGUGGAACAAGUUGGUGCCUUGAUUUUGAACUUGCAGCCUCCAGCUUCAUGGGGUUUAAGUACGAUGAUGCUGCAUUGAGACGUUGUACUGUGUGAAGUCAGGGCCUUCUGUGCAUCGGUCGAGGGUGCAAUGCACACGGCACCCCCGAGCAGCCACCCAUCCUCCCUUCCCUCCACCCUGCGAGGCCCCGUUGUCCGUCUGUCCACACUCUGCUCCAUGAGCACACGUGACUUAGCUUCGCCUUGUGAGCCGCUGCUUGGGGUGAGCAUGCUUCCUGCUGGAUGCUUCUCUAUGUAAGCACCUGCCUGAGUGUCAGCCCUCUUAAGGUGAACCGCUCCGUGUCAUUCGUACAUUCACAAGUUUGUGCCGCCAUCAUCGUGAUCGGAUUCCAAAACAUUUUCAUCACCUCCAAGAAAGCCUUGUACCUGGCAGCAGUCACUGUCUCUAUGGAUUUGCUUAUUCUGGACAUUUCAUAAAAAUAGAAUCAAACAGCAUUUGGC